ACAUAUGUGUAUGAUUUUCGUCAGUUGAGCUGCAUCUGAGCAUCGUGUGAUACUGGCGGUUAACAGUAGCAGCAACUAAACGAGCUAACAACAACAACACAUACGCAAGUGCACAUGCAAAAGGAUUUUUUUUUUUUUAAAUUCAGUACCCAGCCCUUAAUGAGAAGAGAAAUUAAAAAGGAGAGAGCAAAACACUUAGUGUGGCCAGCUUACGGUUGGUCAAGAAUCUUUUGCCUUGAGAUUUACCAAAUUGGUAUUUUUCCAUAAACAAUAAGGUUGCUACGGACUGUUUGUCCUCCCUGGGGCCGCGCCGGCUGGCUCAUCGGUACUCAGGUGGAGUUCCAUCCCUGGCCGGCAGUCCGCACAAUCGAUAAUUCCACUGAUACAAAAAGCUGCAUUAAAAACAGAAGAAACGCAUCACUAUCAAAACAAAACAGCUGCCACGCAUUUUAAAAUUGCGCCAAACAAAGGGAAAUAUGAUAACAAACUAUUGACGACGGGACCCAGUUGACCCCGGCGUACCCACCCUGCCUGAGAUGGCCACAUCGGCGCCAUCUUCCUUGCGUUGGCUACUACAUCAGUGGCUGCUUCUCAUCCGGCGUAGCGCUGUGGAAUUCCCCUCCCCUCCAUGACGAGAUAUAUUAUAUUAAUUUAAGUUGCUUAAUCAUCUACCUUGACCUGCCUAAGAGCUCUUGGGAUUGGUUAAGAGGUAUAUGGUUAGGUGAGAUAAUGCAUAUAUGUAAAUUCAUAAAGGUAAUCUUAGAUAUCUCGCCGCGAAUAAUUUGUAAUUAAUUUGUAU